GAGCACUUUAUUAUUUACUGUUUUAUUUAUAGCAACAAUUCAUAUCAUCCUGUUAUAGAUGACUACAGACGCAAUUUACACUCUAUAAGGUCAAUAACGUCACAUUGUCCUUGUUUUUUUUUUUCAGGAUUAUUACAAAAAAGAAUUAAAUUCAAUUUUAAUCAGAUUUAAGUUGGGAUUCUGGCAGGUUGGGUAUAGUAAAAUAUGAAAAUUUAAUCUGCUGGGCUUCACGUUAUGCAUUGAGGUUUCAAUACUCUUGAUCACAAGUUCUGUUUUCCUUCAUUACGUUCAACUUUUUUGUAGCAGAGAUCAAAUUGGGCCUUCUUUUAAUGAUUACUGACAUAGUAGCAUAGCUGUAUAGUUAGUGAAUUAAUUAAAAAAAAUUAAUUAAAACUACAUUUUCAAUAGUGAGCUUUAAAAAAACAAACAAAAUUUUUUGAUUAUCAAUUAAUUGUUUCAGACUACUUUUCCCUGCCAGUGAAAGUAGGGCAGGGAUAUUUCAACCACCAAAGAGCACCGACUGUUAGAAAUAGUUUUACUUUGGACUUUACAACUGCAGCAGAAAAGCUUAUUCAGGAUGUUUUGUCUUCAGUAAGUGCAGAGGGAACGAGAAGUCCAGCGACGACCAGAACCCUGCUGGCAGAUGAAGAGUACGUCAACAGUUAGCUGGAUGUUUAUGUUCUGCAGACUGGAAUGCUGUGUUUAAUUUACUGAACUGCUAGCGUCGGAUCCAAGGGUCUGAUUAUGAAUUCAUUUAUGGGAUCCUUCACAAUAAGAGUCUUCAAAUGGCAUCAAACUAAUUAAAACCACUACUUUAAAAUAUGUCGGUCACUGUAUGUAUACGUCAGAGAAAGCAGAGAAAAUACAACAUAUAAUUCAACUUGUACACAUAAUUCUUACUAAUCAAAAAUUUGACAUUGUGUGAAUAGUUCAGAUAAAUUGUAGCUGCUGUCAAGACAACUGCAUCUGGUUUAUUGUUUUUAUGUUUGGUUUAAGGUAGCAGGAGUUAAAGUUUAUUUAAUAUUAAACAUUAAGUUUAAUAUGUGUGGUAGUUUUAGUAAAUUUGUGUUGAUGCUCAUUAAGUUCGGUUAAGUGUACAUUCAAAUUUGGGGGGACCUUUUAUUUUGUUCCGCGGACCAUGUGUUGCCCGGGGAAGCAUUAUCUGGCACACUUAGAGCUGAAACUUUAUUCCUCUGGAGUCAAUGUGGCUAAUGAGUUCUGACGGCAUUUUUGGGACUUUGUAAGACGUGUCCACAAUAAAUGGCUGUAGAAACGAA